rfam:Triticum aestivum genome assembly, contig: Triticum_aestivum_CS42_TGACv1_scaffold_468346_5DS
GGAUGCGAUCGUACCAGCACUAAAUCACCGGAUCCCAUCAGAACUCCGAAGUUAAGCGUGCUUGGGCGAGAGUAGUACUAGGUUGGGUGACCUCCUGGGAAGUCCUCGUGUUGCAUUCC